CCUACGGGUGGCAGCAGUCGAGAAUCAUUCACAAUGGGGGAAACCCUGAUGGUGCGACGUCGCGUGGGGGAAUGAAGGUCUUCGGAUUGUAAACUUCUGUUAUGUGGGAGUAAAUUAAUACGAUUGUACCACAUUAUGAAGAGCCUGCUAAUUCUGUGCCAGCAGCCGCGGUAAUACAGAGGUCUCAAGCGUUGUUCGGAAUGACUGGUCGUAAAGCGUGCGUAGGCUGUUUCGUAAGUCGUGUGUGAAAGGCGCGGGCUCAACCCGAGAAGGGCAGAUGAUACUGGGAGACUGGAGUAGGGGAGGGGUAAGCGGAAUUCGCGGUGUAGCAGUGAAAUGCGUAGAUAUCGAGAAGAACACUCGUGGCGAAGGCGGGUUCCUGGACAUUAACUGACGCUGAGGCACGAAGGCGAGGGGAGCGAAAGGGAUUAGAUACCCCGGUAGUC
rnacentral:rRNA from 1 species